GAGUUUGAUCCUGGCUCAGGAUGAACGCUAGCGACAGGCCUAACACAUGCAAGUCGAGGGGCAGCACAUGAGGCAGCAAUGCGGAUGGUGGCGACCGGCGCACGGGUGAGUAACACGUAUGCAACCUGCCUUCAACCGGAGGAUAACCCGUUGAAAGACGGACUAAUACUCCAUAACACAGGGGUCCCGCAUGGGGAUAUUUGUUAAAGAUUAAUCGGUUGAUGAUGGGCAUGCGUUCCAUUAGCUUGUUGGCGGGGUAACGGCCCACCAAGGCAACGAUGGAUAGGGGAACUGAGAGGUUUAUCCCCCACACUGGAACUGAGACACGGUCCAGACUCCUACGGGAGGCAGCAGUGAGGAAUAUUGGUCAAUGGGGGCAACCCUGAACCAGCCAAGUCGCGUGAAGGAUGAAGGUCUUAUGGAUUGUAAACUUCUUUUACACGGGAAUAAAGUGGGGGACGUGUCCCCCUUUGCAUGUACCGUGUGAAUAAGGAUCGGCUAACUCC
rnacentral:rRNA from 1 species